CUCCGGAUAACUCAGUUGGAAGAGUGGCAGACUGUAAUGGUCGAAUGCUUUCAUCUGCAAGUCCCCAGUUCGAACCUGGGUUCGGAGA